rnacentral:lncRNA from 1 species
AAGUCAUGCAUCCGUUGGAAUGAAGUUCACCAUCUCUAUAAAUAUCCCGAUUCAAUCGUUCUUUCAUUCAUUCAUUUCGGCUUCUCUCCUACAAAACAUACAGAGAUCAUUCCCUUACUUAUUUCUGUGUCAGAAGAGCUCGUUCAGUUGAGCAGCCAUGUUGACUCCUAAUGCGGAUAUUGCUGAAGUUUACGUAUUGAGGAAACUCCAUAAAGAGAAGAUGAAGAGACUCGAAAAGAAGACACGUCAAGAAAAUGCGUUAAAAAAGGAUGAUCAUUGUGCUGGAUCUGGUUGCUUCUCCAUUUUGUUCAAGAAAGUACAUCCAUCUUCUGUGCCAGAAUAAGAUUCUUAAAUCGACCAAGCUCUUCUCUGUGUGUGUGAGAGAGGGGGGGGGGGGGGGGGUUUAUUAGAAUGUAAUUGUUUAUCUUCUCUGGUUCCAUUUGAUGGGAGUCAGGAGGAGAUUUGAAUGUAUGCUUUUCUGCAAACGAUAUUCCAUUUGCUGUAAUUUUUAC